GUGACGAUGUACAUGUACUGACAGUGUUGCCAAACUCAAAUGUAUCGGCCUGCCCGAACGACACCGUGCACUGGUUUUGCCAUCUCGAUUCUGCUGUAGUCACUCCUAAGUGGAAUUGGCCUAUAUUGGCAAGUGACCUGAUCGAGAUAACGAACAUAUCAACUAAUGAUGUGCUACAAAUGGACGUUAUUGUGCAGAGCGACAGCGUAGGGAGCUACAGCUGCACGGUGGAUGUUGGAGGCAGAGUGUUGACUAAACAAGUUGAACUCACUAUGAAAAUCUGCUUAUUAACACCCGAGAAUCUAUGUGCACGCUUGGAAGAGUAUAACACUCUUAAAGCGCAGAGUGCGGCUUUGCACAGGAACUAUGGGGACGGAACGGGAACGUGUUCUGUGAAAGUGCAGGAUUGCGCAACAUGUCCAUGAUCGCCAUAGUAUCUUUUCUUCAACAUUGAGCAUUUAUAAAUGAAUGAAGGUCUGCAUGUUAUUUUUUCCUUUUAUUUUUAAGUUUAUCAGCAGACACAAUCGGUGGGAAUAAUCCAGAACUGCAAAAAAAACGAUCAUUUUUGGAGAUGCUGUGUAGAAAAAUUGGCCAAGUGCAGAAAAUGAUUGUUUGUUUUGAUUUAUAUAAAAACAUAAACAAAUUUUACAAUGAGCUUGCAACUUGUGGUCGGGUAAUUUUUGCUUGACUGGGCCCCAUGAACAGUGGGUUUUUACUUUUCAGUUUUGAUUGGAUCUUUGGUCUAUUUGAAAGGCUUAAGUUCAUAUAAUAACUACAUGCAUAGUCGGAUAUAUCAUUUAUUUGCAUAAAUUGAAUACGCAGAGAACGCAGCUAGUAAAUUGUUCAUGUACAAAAAGAUGACUACAUUUAUUCAUUAACCAUCACCUGCUUUGAUGCACCGAAUUCCAUUAUCUACUUUGUUGGAGUUUGUAUUUUGAUAUUGUUAAUUUGAUUUUAAUAGCUUCAGCAUUCCUUUUGUACAGCCCUUUUAACACUUCUUAUACUUCAAUGCAACGUGUUUUGUUUAUCCAAAAACCUCUGCCAUGUAACUUUUAAUUUUCUUUGAAGUAAUUACUGCAUGUCACUUAAUGACCAAAGGGUUACAGACAACACAGAAAACACAAAGUGAGUAACUGGACUCAAUAUCGUUAAAAAUGAGGCAUUUUGUCGCUGUAGUGACACACUUUGAGCCAAAGUGUGCCACUACACGGACAAAAUGACUCAUUUUUUACGAUAAUGAGUCAUAUUUCUCACUUUGUGUUUUCUGUGAAGUAAAAGGAACGUUUACUUACGAAUACUUUUAACAAUAUUCUGUUUAAUUAUUCUGUUUAAUUUUGAUAAACCCCGUAUGCUGUGGUCGAGGAGCCAUGUUGAGUUAAAAAUGCAGCCGUGGGUGUCGGAAAAGAGUGGAGUUAGGUUAGGCUGUGAAUACAUGCAUCUAGAUGCAAGCAGAAACCCAAGUGAAGAGUCCCGCAGUGCACGUUAUCAAAUCUGUCGUAAUGGUGUGAAGCUAUUGCAGCACAAUCUUAAUCAUUAUAGGAAUAAUCUGGUUGCCCUUGCGCCCAUCCCGGGAAGGGCUCGCUGCUGUCCUGACCGACACACUCCCAAGUGCCUUCAACUUCUUUGUCAUUGCAAGCAAUCAAGGCGCAGUAAUCAGUGUUCUUCUUUCGAGCCAAAUCUGACAAGAUGCUCAUUUCUUCGAGCGAGCAAGCAGCGGCCAUUUUGCCUCCCAUGUCUUGGCAAGCUGACUUGACACGUUUGCUUUGAAAGAGUGAAGCAAUAAUAGGCGUUCUGGAGCAAUUGCCACUGUGGCGGUGGCAACUGACCAUUGCAAUGCAUUGACAGUUGAAGUGAUUGCUACAACGCCAGAAACGUUGAAUAAGAACAUAGUCAUAAUUUAGGAAGAUGGUUUGAGAACUUUUCAUUUUCUUGUUAACCAGUCAAGAAUCUAAGUAUUGAGGUAGACUGAUGCGGAAUAAAAACUGGUGGUCGCGCUGAAGGAAAGUGAGUUUUUCUAUGUAUAUAAUGACGCCAAAUAUCAUAAAGGUGGCAAACAAUAGAUCCUGUCGUCAUGGUCACUUUAUUCCAGCGUUCGUCAAAUAAUAGUAAGGGGCCGAGAAAAUUAACCUCUAUGGCAUUACGUCCUGUUCACUGGUUUCAAAUAAUCAUUUAGAAUCAGGUGGACAAAAUUCAUCAGUGUGGGGAAGGGCCUGUAAGCGAGGCAUUACACUGGGCAACUGAGCAACAAAAACAGGUACCAUGUUCAGCCAUGACCUAUUUUGCACCGCUUUGUUAGUAAAAAUUGAAGGGGCACUAAGUCCUGAAAUCCCCGAAAAUUUGAUGUUUUGCAUUGUUUACUUAUCCUAUUUCAAACAUGUGGUUGAAAGGAAAACAACCUAAUGUCUUACCGUUCCCGAGAAAAGA